CCUACGGGAGGCAGCAGUGGGGGAUAUUGCACAAUGGGGGAAACCCUGAUGCAGCGACGCCGCGUGUGGGAAGACGGUCUUCUGGAUUGUAAACCACUGUCCCCAGGGACGAAAAUGACGGUACCUGGGGAGGAAGCUCCGGCUAACUACGUGCCAGCAGCCGCGGUAAUACGGAGGGAGCAAGCGUUGUCCGGAAUUACUGGGUGAAACGGGAGCGUAGGCGGGGAUGCAAGUUGGGUGUCAAAACUACCGGCUCAACCGAUAGUCGCACUCAAAACUGCAGCUCUUGAGUGAAGUAGAGGCAGGCGGAAUUCGUAGUGUAGCGGUGAAAUGCGUAGAUAUUAGGAGGAACACCAGUGGCGAAGGCGGCCUGCCGGGCUUUUACUGACGCUGAGGCUCGAAAGUGUGGGGAGCAAACAGGAUUAGAUACCCUGGUAGUC
rnacentral:rRNA from 1 species